AACGAACGCUGGCGGCGUGCUUAACACAUGCAAGUCGAACGGAUCAAGGGGCUUGCUCCUUGAUUAGUGGCGCACGGGUGAGUAACGCGUGGAUAAUCUGCCCGAUGAUCUGGGAUAACAUCUCGAAAGGGGUGCUAAUACCGGAUAAGCCCACGGGAUCUUCGGAUCUUGCGGGAAAAGAGGGGGACCUUCGGGCCUCUUGUCAUCGGAUGAGUCCGCGUACCAUUAGCUAGUUGGCGGGGUAAAGGCCCACCAAGGCGACGAUGGUUAGCUGGUCUGAGAGGAUGAUCAGCCACACUGGAACUGAGACACGGUCCAGACUCCUACGGGAGGCAGCAGUGGGGAAUUUUGCGCAAUGGGGGAAACCCUGACGCAGCAACGCCGCGUGAGUGAUGAAGGCCUUCGGGUCGUAAAGCUCUGUCUAGAGGAAAGAAGUGUGCGGGUGAUAAUACCACUUGCACUUGACGGUACCUCUGAAGGAAGCACCGGCUAACUCCGUGCCAGCAGCCGCGGUAAUACGGAGGGUGCGAGCGUUGUUCGGAUUUAUUGGGCGUAAAGCGCGUGUAGGCGGUUUCUUAAGUCUGAUGUGAAAGCCCCGGGCUCAACCUGGGAAGUGCAUUGGAUACUGGGAGACUUGAAUACGGGAGAGGGUAGUGGAAUUCCUAGUGUAGGAGUGAAAUCCGUAGAUAUUAGGAGGAACACCGGUGGCGAAGGCGGCUACCUGGACCGAUAUUGACGCUGAGACGCGAAAGCGUGGGUAGCAAACAGGAUUAGAUACCCUGGUAGUCCACGCCGUAAACGAUGAGUACUAGGUGUUGCGGGUAUUGACCCCUGCAGUGCCGCAGCUAACGCAUUAAGUACUCCGCCUGGGAAGUACGGUCGCAAGACUA
rnacentral:rRNA from 1 species